rnacentral:rRNA from 1 species
GCACUUCUUGUUUCCUGGGCGGGUUCGCCCGCCACCAGGACCAAACCAUAAACCUUUUUGUAAUUGCAAUCAGCGUCAGUAAACAAUGUAAUUAUUACAACUUUCAACAACGGAUCUCUUGGUUCUGGCAUCGAUGAAGAACGCAGCGAAAUGCGAUACGUAGUGUGAAUUGCAGAAUUCAGUGAAUCAUCGAAUCUUUGAACGCACAUUGCGCCCUUUGGUAUUCCAAAGGGCAUGCCUGUUCGAGCGUCAUUUGUACCCUCAAGCUUUGCUUGGUGUUGGGCGUCUUUGUCUCUCACGAGACUCGCCUUAAAAUGAUUGGCAGCCGACCUACUGGUUUCGGAGCGCAGCACAAUUCUUGCACUUUGAAUCAGCCUUGGUUGAGCAUCCAUCAAGACCACAUUUUUUAACUUUUGACCUCGGAUCAGGUAGGGAUACC